GAUGAAGAACGUAGCGAAAUGCGAUACGUAAUGUGAAUUGCAGAUUUCAGUGAAUCAUCGAAUCUUUGAACGCACAUUGCGCCCGCCAGUAUUCUGGCGGGCAUGCCUGUUCGAGCGUCAUUUCAACCAUCAAGCCUUCGCUUGUGUUGGGGCCCCGCGGCUGCCGCGGUCCCCUAAAUCCAGUGGCGGGCUCGUCGUCGUACCGAGCGCAGUAGACAUCCUCGCUCCGGGAACCCGACGGGUGCCGGCCGUGAAACCCCCCACAUCAAGGUUGACCUCGAAUCAGGUAGGAAUACCCGCUGAACUUAAGCAUAUCAAUAAGCGGAGGA
rnacentral:misc_RNA from 1 species